GCCACAGGCCUGUAGUCCCAGCUACUCAGGAGGCUGAGCUCACUGGAUCGCUUGAGCCCAGGAGUUCUGGGCAACAGUGUGCUAUGCCAAGCAGGCCUCUGCGCUAAGGCCAGCAUGUAUAUGGUGAGCCCCAGGGAGCGGGAACACACCAGAUUGACUGAGGGGAGAAACGACCCAGGCCAGAGAUGAAGCAGGACAGAGCUCCUGGGCUGGUCAGUAAUGGGAUUGCACCUGUGAAUAGCCACUGCAGGACAGCCUGGGCAACACUGAGAGACACAAGUUCCU
rnacentral:SRP_RNA from 1 species